rnacentral:rRNA from 1 species
CGUGGGUUACCUUCCCUCAAAGUGGGGGAAUAGCCUUCCGAAAGGGGAGAAUUUAAUCCCGCAAUAAAUGUCCCCAUUUAGCAUUAUCAGUGUACCAAAGGAGAAUUCCGCUUUGAGAUGGGCCUGCGGGGCAUUAGCUUAGUUGGUGGGGUAACGGCUCACCAAGGCCACGAUGCGUAGCCGACUGGAGAGGGUGAUCGGCCACAUUGGAACUGAGACACGGUCCAGACUCCUACGGGAGGCAGCAGUGGGGAAUAUUGCACAAUGGGGGAAACCCUGAUGCAGCCAUGCCGCGUGUGUGAAGAAGGCCUUCGGGUUGUAAAGCACUUUCGGAGGGGAGGAACAAAUGACGUUACCCUCAGAAGAAGCACCGGCUAACUCCGUGCCAGCAGCCGCGGUAAUACGGAGGGUGCAAGCGUUAAUCGGAAUAACUGGGCGUAAAGGGCAUGCAGGCGGUCGGACAAGUAGGAUGUGAAAUCCUGGGGCUCAACCUCAGAACUGCAUUCUAAACUGUUCGACUAGAGUAUUGCAGGGGGAGACGGAAUUUCAGGUGUAGCGGUGGAAUGCGUAGAUAUCUGAAAGAACACCAAAGGCGAAGGCAGUCUCCUGGGCAAAUACUGACGCUCAUAUGCGAAAGCGUGGGUAGCAAACAAGAUUAGAUACCCUGGUAGUCCACGCCGUAAACGACGUCAAAUAGG